GGUCAGGUAGCUCAAUUGGUAGAGCGAGCGUUUCAUAAGCGUUAGGUUGCGAGUUCGAGUCUCGUUCUGACCA
rnacentral:tRNA from 1 species